UACGUAGGGGGCAAGCGUUGUCCGGAUUUAUUGGGCGUAAAGAGCGUGUAGGCGGCCUGACAGGUCUGCUGUGAAAACUCGAGGCUCAACCUCGAGAUGUCGGCGGAAACCGUCUGGCUAGAGUCCGGAAGAGGAGAGUGGAAUUCCGCGUGUAGCAGUGAAAUGCGUAGAUAUGCGGAGGAACACCGAUGGCGAAGGCAAUCCCCUGGGCCUGCACUGACGCUCAUGCACGAAAGCGUGGGGAGCAAACAGG
rnacentral:rRNA from 1 species